ensembl:snRNA U6 U6 spliceosomal RNA
GUGCUCUCUUUGGCAGCACAUAAACUAAAAUUGGAAUGAAAUAGAGAAGGUUAGCAUGGCCCCUGCCCAGAGUAAAUUUGUGAAAUGUUCCAUAUUUUG